GAACGACAAAUGCAACAUUGUAAUUUACAAACAAAAAAGAAAGGAAAAUAAUUACAUUUGAUAUCAAUUUCUAUUUCAGUAAGUGUAAUUACAUACGUAUAGAUAACGCGAGAGCGCAAUCCUUAAACAUUAUUAGAGUAUCAUUUAUUUGUACGGUGAUAACACCGUAUAUCUACCUGACUACCGAUGAAUACUUUCCAGUUAUUGUGAGAACUCCCUAACCGUACACCUACACUUCUCGUUUUAUCCAGAAGUGAAACAAAACGCUCCUGUGAUUGUGUUUGGGAAAAUGUAUGUUUAAUAAAAUUCUUUUGGAGCACCAUAAUUUAGUUAUCGAGUUAAAGGGAAAGAAAGUGAUAAUCUGGUGAAAAAAUAUCGCAUAACAAUAAAAGACAGAGUACAACUGUCCAAUGCCGUCUCCGAGCCCAGCGUCCGGAGCAUCAUCAGUGGUACCGUAAACACCUGGACACACCAUCGCAUUUUGAUGGUCACUCUCCCGUUGGAGAAAAUCGUCUACACGCACUGUCACUUCAU